ACCAAUCCGUAUUGCUAGGUCCAUCGUCACGAAAAAGUCUUCGUUAACAUCCCUUCGUUCUAGCUUCCAAAAUUGUUUUGUUUCAGGGGAUAUAUGGCUUGUAUCCAUGGGCAUGGUUUUCCGAUCUUUUUUUUCAAUGUUUUCUUGGCGUGCAUACUCCCUUUCUUUGCGUAUAUACUCCCUUUCUUUUGCAUAUUCUUGUUGAAUUGCCAUAUCGUGCUCUUGUUGUUUCAUGUCCAUUUCAAUUCUCAUGACUUAGUGCUUUGAAAUUUCCUUCAAAAAUUUAGAUGCAUUAUUGGUUGAAUUACUCCCUCUCUUCACCUUCGCCGCCUUCCUCCCAAUAGGCCUUGGCUCCUUUUGGAUAGGUGAGUCUUGACUCAUCGGAGAAUCCAUAGGUGAAUCUGAUAUCGUUGAAUCAUGGAGUGACGUCUCAU
rnacentral:lncRNA from 1 species